GUGUUGUAAGAAAGGAGAGAAGUUUAGCACUCCCCUUGACAACGAUGGAAUGAACACAAGGCAAGCCGUUGAAAAAUGGCAAACCAGUUUUUUU
rnacentral:ncRNA from 1 species